AUUGAACGCUGGCGGCAGGCUUAACACAUGCAAGUCGAGCGGGGAAAGGUAGCUUGCUACCUGACCUAGCGGCGGACGGGUGAGUAAUGCUUAGGAAUCUGCCUAUUAGUGGGGGACAACAUCUCGAAAGGGAUGCUAAUACCGCAUACGUCCUACGGGAGAAAGCAGGGGACCUUCGGGCCUUGCGCUAAUAGAUGAGCCUAAGUCGGAUUAGCUAGUUGGUGGGGUAAAGGCCUACCAAGGCGACGAUCUGUAGCGGGUCUGAGAGGAUGAUCCGCCAAACUGGGACUGGGACCCGGCCCAGACUUCUACGGGAGGCAGCAGUGGGGAAUAUUUGACCAUGGGGGGAACCCUGAUCCAGCCAUGCCGCGUGUGUGAAGAAGGCCUUUUGGUUGUAAAGCACUUUAAGCGAGGAGGAGGCUACCGAGAUUAAUACUCUUGGAUAGUGGACGUUACUCGCAGAAUAAGCACCGGCUAACUCUGUG
rnacentral:rRNA from 1 species